rnacentral:lncRNA from 1 species
UUUUUUUUUUUUUCUGUUUAAAGAGAAGUUAAUUGGUCCCAAUCCCAAACUGACUGUUGUGUAUCUAAACGUCCUGCUACGUAUAAACAACAUUUUGUCAAAAGCGAGAGUCCACGGAUGUCCGUGUAAAUAUAAACAAGAUCAAGGUCAGAACCAUUCAAGGCAGCAAACCACCACGGCUUGUCAACUCAGUUCUUUUUACAAAGUAGAGAGCUGGAAAUAUUCGUUCUUUACUUGAUGCAGAUGCAUCUGGGAAAUUGGAAUAACUAAAUAUCUUUUUUCCCAGAGACCAAGUCACCUCUUUGAUCAUCUUAGCUGUUCAUAAAAGUACAGAAACAACACAGAAAUCUCUUAAAUGUGAUACUUGUAACCAAAAGAAUUUGAAAGGAGAAGCCAUAAGUGCAAUUGUCUAUUUGGGGAGAGAAUGAAAGAAAGAAAAGAAGAAGAGUAGUGCAGAAGGAGGGUCUUGGAGAAAGAAUGGCUUUUAAACAAUACAACCAAGUCCAUCAACACAUUUUUCUUGAGCACUAAUUAAUGCAAGGUGCACUUUACACCACAAAAAUGAACAAGACUCGCCUUCAGAAAGCUCUGCCAUCACACAAUAACCUGUCUCUUUUUGCUAAAUUUUUAAGUUAUCAGUCUAUUUUCACUUCUUCUCUCUUAUCCUAGACCAUUGGCCAGAAUGCUUCACAUGUAUUCCUAGAUUUCUUAAAAGAGCUGUAACAGUUUUUAAAUGAUUCAGUUUCAUUCUGAAGAAGCCAUAUAGCCUUCCUGUGCCUCACUUUCCCAGUUGAUGAUCUAAAAAGUUCCUUCUGAGGGAAAAAAUUCUAUGAGAUUAUUUCAUUCAUGUAUUCAAUGUAUAUUUAAUGUUAACCAUCUAAUACGUGCCAGGAACUGUUUUAGGCAUUGGGAAUGCACCCAGGAACAAAACUGACAACCCCUCUUCAGGAUACUUCCAUUUUAGUAAAAAGAAAUAGACAAAACAAAUAAAUGAAGGGCAGGUGGAAUGUCAGGCUGUGACCACUUCUGUGGAUACAGCAAGAGGAGGGCAGUAGGAAGGGUACGCCUGGAAGGGUUUCAGGAGAUCAAAGAGGCUUCACAAAGAGGUGAGGAGUAGAGGGCCAGCCACCGUAGAGACUCUAAGGACAAAUUACAAAGUACUCUCCAAACUUUACCCUUGGUCUAUAUCGUACGCUUCCAACAUUGGGAUUUAGGUUUGGUAGGAAAUUAACUCAGAACAUCAAAGUAUUAAAUUGUCAGUUAAAAAGUAGCUACUUCCUGAAAUUUAACCUUUCUGUUUCCCUGAACCUCAUUAAGUAACACUGGAAAUUUUCAGGAUGUAUGAUAAAAAUGAUCAUGACUCACUUAGGAGAUGUGCAUAGCCCUGCCAAAGGCAGUGGUCAAGCUUCGGGGAACCAGGGCCAAGGCCAUGACACUGUCUUAUCAAGUGGCUCCUGCUUCUUUAAGGUCCCCCUAUUCCAGACUCAGUAGCUAAGAUGGCACAACACCAUAUGUAAUUCCCAAAAGAGAACACUUACCUGACACAUCCUUUAAGCUCAUUUUAAAUUAACUAUAGUAACAUACACUCCAAAGAACAGAAAGAGUUAUUUUCUGUGGGCUAAUAUAAUCAGAAUUUCACAAAAAGUCUUCAGAUUUCUAAUUCCAGAGAUCGACUGAGAAAAGAAAGUUCUUGUGGGAUCAUGAAACAUUUGUCCAGAAAGUAUAGCAAGAAGCAGUUGGGAGCGGGGGCAGCAGCAGUAGUUAACAGCCUGGUCAAUAACCAUUAUUUACGAAGGCGGUGUAGUUUCUUCAAACUCUGAACUCAUUUUGUAGAUUGGUAAUGAACUUCUCUAACUCAGAUUUAGGAAUUAGAGUGUCACCACAAAAGGCAGACUGUCAGGCUGCCAGAGGUCUCCCAGGGCAGCAUUUCUCUCCAUGAAUUCACCAUGUUUCUGAGGUCAUCAACCCCCACCCACUUCAGCACUGCUUGGACUCAAGAAUGACUCGUGCUAGUAGUGUUCCUGGAAGCUUGAGGUAUAAACCCACAUGUUUCUUAGUUUUCCAGAAGAAAGGCAGCUGCCGGGAGGCUGUGAGGUUCCUGUUUUCUGACCAGCACAUUCUUUCCUGGUAUAGCCAUGUAGUUAGGAGCUGGAAACCUGCAGUCUGACUGCAGGUGUCUUGAGAGGGAACUCAAACUCAAAUUCAAGUCCAUCCAAACUUAAGCCCAGCUGUAGUCUCAUCUUAGUGGCCCACAUGGUGGCAUGGCAUCUACAUGCAAUGGCCAUUUCAUUGGGUCAAAGAUGUGACAAGUAACAGAGCAGCAUACCACCAUGAUGUAUCUGGUACCUGGGCCUCACUGAAUUGUCUCAGAGAAGGGACUAAUGUUGAUUCAUUCAUACAUUUGACAUUGGUGGACACUGAUUUGGCGUUGAUGGGAUAAAGAGAGCAGAGUCCCUCUCGCCCUUCAGUGAUGCAAAGAUUGGAGAGGAGGUUACGACACUGCUCAGCAGUCCAUGCUAUAUUAGUAGUGGAUGGGUUGCUUGUGGGGUGCACCUUAUCUGCAUUGUCUGAUAGGGUCCCUCAACAACUGUGAGAAAGGCAUCACCAUCCCAUUUUACAGAUGAGAAGACUGAGGAUUGGGGAGGGUAAGUAACUUGCUAGUGCCCUGUGAAUAGUAAGUGGCCAGGCUGGGUGUCAAACUCAGGCCCCUGAUGCCUGGACUCGCUCCCUUGCGCCAUGCUGCCCCCAAUAGGUGGCACAAGGAAUAGCAUUUUAUAGUCACUCUUCGUCCCAAACCCCUAAUUAACUAAAUGGAUUAAAGAAGUUAAAUCUAAAGUAAAAUAAAAAUAAAAUAAAAUAAAAAAAGAGUUCCUAUCUUGGCACAGCAGAAAUGAAUCAGACUAGGAACCAUGAGGUUGUGGUUCGAUCCCUGGCCUCGCUCAGUGGGUUAGGAUCUGGCAUUGCCCUGAGCUGUGGUACAGGUCGAAGAUAUGUGGCUCAGAUCUGGUGUAGCUACAGCUUGGAUGUGACCCUUAGCCUGGGAACCUCCAUAUGCUGUGGCUGACGGCUUCUCAGGUGAGGGUGCUACUCUGAUAAAGGACUUUCUAAUCUCUAGGUCGCUUGGAGGGAGAAGGCAGGGCUGAGGUUGGAGCUGACUCUACAGGGGGAAGAAGACAC